GGCCUAACACAUGCAAGUCGAGCGGUAACAUUUCUAGCUUGCUAGAAGAUGACGAGCGGCGGACGGGUGAGUAAUGCUUGGGAACAUGCCUUGAGGUGGGGGACAACAGUUGGAAACGACUGCUAAUACCGCAUAAUGUCUACGGACCAAAGGGGGCUUCGGCUCUCGCCUUUAGAUUGGCCCAAGUGGGAUUAGCUAGUUGGUGAGGUAAUGGCUCACCAAGGCGACGAUCCCUAGCUGGUUUGAGAGGAUGAUCAGCCACACUGGGACUGAGACACGGCCCAGACUCCUACGGGAGGCAGCAGUGGGGAAUAUUGCACAAUGGGCGCAAGCCUGAUGCAGCCAUGCCGCGUGUGUGAAGAAGGCCUUCGGGUUGUAAAGCACUUUCAGUCAGGAGGAAAGGUUAGUAGUUAAUACCUGCUAGCUGUGACGUUACUGACAGAAGAAGCACCGGCUAACUCCGUGCCAGCAGCCGCGGUAAUACGGAGGGUGCGAGCGUUAAUCGGAAUUACUGGGCGUAAAGCGUACGCAGGCGGUUUGUUAAGCGAGAUGUGAAAGCCCC
rnacentral:rRNA from 1 species